rnacentral:rRNA from 1 species
UGGGGAAUUUUGGACAAUGGGGGCAACCCUGAUCCAGCAAUGCCGCGUGAGUGAAGAAGGCCUUCGGGUUGUAAAGCUCUUUUGUCAGGGAAGAAACGGUAGUAGCGAAUAACUACUACUAAUGACGGUACCUGAAGAAUAAGCACCGGCUAACUACGUGCCAGCAGCCGCGGUAAUACGUAGGGUGCAAGCGUUAAUCGGAAUUACUGGGCGUAAAGCGUGCGCAGGCGGUUGUGUAAGUCAGAUGUGAAAUCCCCGGGCUCAACCUGGGAAUUGCAUUUGAGACUGCACGGCUAGAGUGUGUCAGAGGGGGGUAGAAGUUCCACGUGUAGCAGUGAAAUGCGUAGAUAUGUGGAGGAAUACCGAUGGCGAAGGCAGCCCCCUGGGAUAACACUGACGCUCAUGCACGAAAGCGUGGGGAGCAAACAGGAUUAGAUACCCCUGUAGUCCCUGAGCGGGCUGGCAAGGCGCAU